GACAGUUCUAUCACAUAAAGAAGAAGGAGCAGAGUUUUUAAGAUAGUUAAUGACCUCCCCUCUUUUCUGAUGACAGGAAUUGCAGGAAGCAGAGCUUCUUGGGAGAAAAUAAUGUCACUAGGAACUCAAUUUGACUCGGUUGAUUCUACACUUGUGGUCCUGAGAGCCGGAAGAGAUGCUGUGGAAAGAAAUUCUGACAGUGAAUAACUGACCAAACCCAUCCAUACCCCUCUUGGAAUCGUGCAACCAAGAGAGUGAAUUUCCCUGUAUGUGAGUGAAAUAGUGAACAAAAUGUGAGUAGCAGUGGGGGAGGGGGGAUAAGUGAACCUAUUAUCCCAGAUACCUGACACUGUUAAACAAAAGUGCAGAGGGGAUUUAGGCAAACACCAUGCUGAGAAGUAUGUAAGUG
rnacentral:lncRNA from 1 species